rnacentral:rRNA from 1 species
GAUGAACGCUAGCGGCAGGCUUAACACAUGCAAGUCGAGGGGUAUAGGUUUUCGGACCUAGAGGCCGGCGCACGGGUGCGUAACGCGUAUGCAAUCUACCUUGUACAGGGGGAUAGCCCAGAGAAAUUUGGAUUAGUACCCCAUAGUAUUAUACAAUGGCAUCAUUUUAUAAUUAAAGUUCCAACGGUACAAGAUGAGCAUGCGUCCGCAUUAGCUAGUUGGUAUGGUAACGGCAUAUCAAGGCUACGAUGGGUAGGGGUCCUGAGAGGGACAUCCCCCACACAGGUACUGAGACACGGACCAGACUCCUAGGGGAGGCAGCAGUAAGGAAUAUUGGUCAAUGGACGCAAGUCUGAACCAGCCAUGCCGCGUGCAGGGUGACUGUCCUAUGGAUUGUAAACUGCUUUUGUACAGGAAGAAACACUCCUACGUGUAGGAACUUGACGGUACUGUAAGAAUAAGGAUCGGCUAACUCCGUGCCAGCCGCCGCCGUAA